GGACGAUGAUAUGGGCUUUGCUUGGUGACGCAUUUGGACCUGACAAAGUUCAGGCAAGAGACGAGUGCAAAACAUUUAACUUGAAGGGGGAAGAUGUAAGCAGUAUCAUAGUAAAUGUAAAGGAAUCAUUGC